GGGAAUAUGGCUUAGUGGUAGAGUGCUUGCCUAGCAUGCAGGAAGCCCUGGGUUCAAUUCCUCAGUACCA
rnacentral:tRNA from 1 species